UUUUCCUGGCCUAUGCUUUUUCUGCUCUCCUAUGCUCAUUUAUUACGGUAAAGUCUGGCAGGAAACACAGCAAUCUCCCUUGCUGGUUAGGAGGGCCGGCCAUCAUGAGUGUAGGGCUGGCUCUUAAAGGCACCAGAAGACAAU